AGAUCAACUACUGUUAAGGUGGAGCAGCAGUUUGAAAAAGCAUCUUGCUGAAGCUCGACAGCAUCUGUCUCCGUUGUGAAUAAGCACUGACUCUGCAACUCUCUGGUUUUUGUAGUCCACAGAAGAGAGGAAGUCAAUACGGGUUGAUUCAGACAGUGCUGAAGCUCCACCUGAAUAACAAGGUCGUUCUUCCACGAGCUCCAGAAUGGAAGCGGUACUUUCCAGGCCCAGGGCGAUGUUCUGCUGUCUGGAGAUGUAAAUGCCAGGACCGGUUCUGAGUGUGACAGUGCUGGAUCACUCGGGAAUAAACUCUCAGUCAAAACCGCUCCGUACCUGCUCUCCGGACUGAAACGGAGAAACAUCAGAAGCAGUGUUGGUACAUGAAGCGAUUGAGCAUGGCAUUGUGUCUCCAGAGCUGCGCAAGAGCAACAUCUGAGCAAUAAGACUUUCCUCUGGGCUGUGCUCUACAGGCUCCAGAAAACACUGAUGAGAUGCAGGAGAGAGUGUGUGGGAUCAUUAGAGGAGCAGUUCAGCCAGAAAUGAAUGUUCUGUCAUCACAGUCACUUUCGUCGGAGGGAAAAGAGCACCUGGGAUGUUCUGUUGAGUAUCUCAGAUUUAGACGACAUGAGGGUGAGUAAAUGAUGAUGGGGUUGUCAUUUUGGGGUGAACUGUCUCCUUGAGAGAAGAUUUGAGAUACUAAAAUAUACAAAAAUAAGAACGUUUUACUUUGAGUUAUGUUU